CAUCCUCCAAGGCUAAAUACUCCUGACUGACCGAUAGUGAACCAGUACCGUGAGGGAAAGGCGAAAAGAACCCCGGCGAGGGGAGUGAAAAAGAACCUGAAACCGUGUACGUACAAGCAGUGGGAGCACCCUUCGGGGUGUGACUGCGUACCUUUUGUAUAAUGGGUCAGCGACUUAUAUUCUGUAGCAAGGUUAACCGUAUAGGGGAGCCGGAGGGAAACCGAGUCUUAACCGGGCGUUAAGUUGCAGGGUAUAGACCCGAAACCCGGUGAUCUAGCCAUGGGCAGGUUGAAGGUUGGGUAACACUAACUGGAGGACCGAACCGAC
rnacentral:rRNA from 2 species